AAACAUAACCAACAAACAGAGCUCUCAUCACUCUUUUGUUGAUAGCCUGAAACUGAGAAAUCUCACAGAGCGUGUGGAGAUCUCAUAGAGCUCGACGAUCAUGGAGAUCUCAUCGAGCUCGACGAUCAUCGAUUAGGUACGAUCGCACAGCUCCGAUUAGGUACGAUCUCGGUUUUGUGACUCUUCCUCUCUCUUGGCGUUGUGUUUCUCAGCUCCGGUUAGGUCUUUCCGAUUUCCCUCUGCCUCGCUCAGAUCCAUAUCCAUAUCCAAAAAGAAAAAAGAUUUUUCUAUCCAAUGUAUCACCUCGCAAUCAGCCCAAUCUAGUAGUGAUCACUAAGGCCAAUCUAAAUUUUGGGCCUCAAAACCUAUUUAUUCCAGGUCCAAUUUGCUUCACCAAAAUAUUGGGUUUGCAAAUUUUCAGUUGGCAAGUGGCUUUGCUGUUAAUUUGGGUUGCUGAUAUAAGGAAACAUGUGAAGAAUUUAGAAUUUGGGAAGGGACAUGUAUAUAAAGCUGUGCAUGUAACCAAUUUUUAUUUCCUUUCACCAACUUUGGCCUUAUAUAGGAUGUAUUAGGAUUUGUUCUGUUCACCUACUAUCAUGAUAGAUUGUGCAAAGAACCUUGUUUUUACAAUUUAAAAUUCUUAUCCCUGUUGACUAUUGAAUUAGAUCAUAUAAAUAUUGAUCGGGUUAAUUUGACUUUUGGUAUCAUAUAAAUUCAUACAAUUAUGAAUUUUUGUGUA